AGCUGAAUGUGUAAGCCUGGAGCCCUCAGAGAGACGAAAAUUCCAGCGGUAGCCUCCGUCAUUAUUCUGGGAACACAGGAAGCUAAGGUUGAUAAGCCGUGGUCACUGUCUCGACUUAGGCGACUCGAGACAUUGCAUAAUAGCUCAGUGCUGUGAUUCGACACUGCAUUUCACUUUUCUCAGACUUUUGUACUUGGUGUUUUCUGCUGGACAAAGGCUACGUGUCCAUAUGAGUUCUUAGAUUGAGACUGAUCUUGGAGGCCAGUGCUUACUACAGAGCCCAGGUGCCAUAUCGUGGUUUGAGUAAAUGACGCGUGAGUGCGUGGAGUGACGGACAAUGUGUGCUGGUGGUGGAACUCAGUGGUGGGACGGCUGGGGAGCGUCGCUGCCUCAGUACUCCAUCAGAGGCUCGUGUGUGAGGACGCGCCGUGCUGCUCUCCCUUCCCCCACGCACUCCCUUACUAACUUCUAGUCGGCGCUCAAGUCACACCAACAGACAUCAGUGAAUGCAUAAUAUGGAAAAUGCAUCAAGACUAUUACAUUUCAUGUACAAUUUGUGACCGUGAGUGUCUUUAUUCAGUGUUGCAAAACUAAUUUUCUUAACUUAAGCGAACGGUUUGAAAACAUCUGAAGAAGUUGAAGAGGCAGAAAUAUCGUAAGUGAGAAAUGUUGAUGACACAAGUGAUCGCAAAGUGUUUGAAUAAACUGGAGAUUUUUAACUAAUAGCGAUGAUGUGUCAGAAAGUUGUUGAGUGGAAAUAUCCUUGCAAAGUGUGACAGUCAGUGGAAGUGUUCGGUGCGAGGUGAGUGUCCAGGCAGCACACAAGUUAAGAGCGAGGCACUGCCGGGCUGCGAGGUGAGGGAGUGGUGGCCAUGGCCUCUUGCAGGAUGCCUUGCCCAGGGCACCCUCUGCUACUGCUGCUGUUGCUGCUGGUUCACCACUACUAUCCUGCUCAAGGAACAAUACACGUGAAAUCCGAGGAGUGGUGGGAGGGUCGGCCACGCCCUUACUUCGCUCACUCGCCCACGAAUGUCACCGUCAUCUCAGGCCAGACGUCCUUCCUGCCCUGCCGCGUCCACAUGCUUGGCGACCGAUCGGUGAUGUGGAUGCGUGGACGAGAUCUUCACAUCUUAACCGUGGGGAAAGUCACGUAUUCCGCCGACGAGAGGUUCCAG